CACCAAGCAUCAGAGCAAAAGAGAAACAAAGAGAGAAACAAGUUCAAAUAUCGGAGAAUUACCUGAUAAAGCAAUGAUUUGGAAAUGUUGGAUGAGCCAUAGCUGCCGUUGGCACCAAAUUCGAUGUGGACAACAUUUCUCUGGAUAAAAAAUGGAG